rnacentral:rRNA from 1 species
CGCUGGCGGCGUGCCUAACACAUGCAAGUCGAACGAGAAAGUGGAGCAAUCCAUGAGUAAAGUGGCGACCGGGUGAGUAACACGUGACUAACCUGCCCCCGAGUGGGGAAUAACUCCGGGAAACCGGGGCUAAUACCGCAUAACAUCGCAAGAUCAAAGCCGAAAUGCGCUUGAAGAGGGGGUCGCGGCUGAUUAGCUCGUUGGUAGGGUAACGGCCCACCAAGGCCAAGAUCGGUAUCCGGCCUGAGAGGGCGCACGGACACACUGGAACUGAAACACGGUCCAGACUCCUACGGGAGGCAGCAGUGGGGAAUUUUGCGCAAUGGGGGAAACCCUGACGCAGCAACGCCGCGUGGAGGAUGAAGUCCUUUGGGACGUAAACUCCUUUCGACUCGGACGAUAAUGACGGUACGAGUGGAAGAAGCACCGGCUAACUCUGUGCCAGCAGCCGCGGUAAUACAGAGGGUGCGAGCGUUGUUCGGAAUUAUUGGGCGUAAAGGGCGCGUANGCGGUGCGGUAAGUCACCUGUGAAAUC